rnacentral:lncRNA from 1 species
GGAAGACCACCCAGUUAUUUGAUCAUUGUUGAGGCCUUCGUAACUUCCUUCGAAUAGAAUAUUUGGAACACCAUCAGGAGUUCUUCCUACGUCUAACAAAAUCACCAAAGAUCGGGAGUCCCUUCCCAAAUCGUGAUACCAAACGCAUUGUAUCUCACCAUCUAUUCGAGGAAGAACAUGUCGUUCUUGUAGUGUGCCAAUAAACCUGACUUGUGAUCUUAGAGUUGGAUAGCUUUGCGGUUGAAGUUCAAUUGCCAAUUGUA